UCCAACUCGGGAACUCGGGCCUCUUUCUAUAGCUCUGACUUUCCGACCUGAAGAUCAAUGACUUCAUGACUUGACCUCGUAUUUUUCCGAGUUCCCAGUUGUCUUGAAAGCACCAAUGGAUCAGAGAAACGUGCCAGUGGGUACCAGCAAGCACACCAGCACAGCGGGAUCAAGUGUUGCAAUGCAACGGGUGUCCAGGGGCGCAAACGACAUCGAUUUGGCCAGCUAGGGGAAGGCUUGGACUCCUUAUCUGUGGUCCAUGUUACUGGUGACAGUGUGGAGGUUUUACAGCCGUUGACGGUGACUGACUCACAUGCGGUGGUAGACAUCACAGACCUCUCCUUAUGGGGCCUUUUCUUCCUCAGUGGAAGGACAAGUACUGCUGUUCCACAAACCUCACUUCUGCAAGCCAACUCUGAAUGUGCAUUUACUUCCAAAGAAUGUGCUGGUCAAUGAGGUAGAAAAGCUCCAGCAGGCGUACAACUACAUGCGGAUGCCCUCCAACUGCCUGCUCACCUGUGGGGAAACAUACAAACUCUGCUGUGAUUCUACUGAGAAAAAUAAGAUACAACCUUUGACAGAAAUGUGUCGCCGUGACUACGGCCCCAACUACCACCCCACCUUCCAGGUGCUCCUUGGAUCAGACACAGAGGAUGUGGAGCUACGACUCCUGAAGAGUGUGGAUGAGGAGGUAUGGAUGUGUGAUGUACCACUAAUAGGUAAAUUAUUCUUUAAACCCAUCCAGCCCCUUAACCACUUUUAGUGACGCUGGUGUAAUGACACUAACCAGCAUUGCUUACAAAUAGGUUGUUAAAAAAAAAGGUAACAGUUUUGAGCAAUAUUUUUUACACACGACUGUGAAUUUCAAGGAGCUCGCCAUUCAAGGAGUUUGCAGGGGUUGGUCUGAAGGGUGAUCCAUUGAGGAGAUUCAAUCAUGAUCAUGCUGUCCGGGGUGCCCGGGAGGGUGGAGUUUGCACUGGGUGAAAAAUGUUCCGCAACCCAAAUUCAUCACAGAAAAUGUAUAUCUCAUAUCUCACAAUCAAAUGUAGUAUUUCUGCUGUGACAGAACAUAUAUUUUUCCGUUAUUCCACAAAGUUCUAUCCAGCGCUGCAGUGUGUGGGGCACUGUAUAAC